rnacentral:rRNA from 1 species
UACGGGGGGAGCAAGCGUUGUUCGAAUUUACUGGGCGUAAAGGGCGCGUAGGCGGCGCAACAAGUCACUUGUGAAAUCUCCGGGCUUAACCCGGAGCGGCCAAGUGAUACUGUCGUGCUAGAGUGCGGAAGGGGCUACUGGAAUUCUCGGUGUAGCGGUGAAAUGCGUAGAUAUCGAGAGGAACACCUGCGGCGAAGGCGGGUUGCUGGGCUGACACUGACGCUGAUGCGCGAAAGCCAGGGGAGCGAACGGG